rnacentral:pre_miRNA from 1 species
CUAGUACUCCCUCCGUCCGAAAAUACUUGUCAUCCAAAUGGAUAAAAAGAGAUGUAUCUCGAACUAAAAUACAUCUAGAUACAUCCCCUUUUAUCCAUUUUGAUGACAAGUAGAUGGAGGGAGUAUUUG